rnacentral:tRNA from 1 species
GACCAUGUAGCUCAGUUGGCAGAGCAUUGGGCUAGUAUUCCAAAGGUCGUAGGUUCGAGUCCCACCGUGGUCG